rnacentral:rRNA from 1 species
CCUACGGGAGGCAGCAGUGGGGGAUAUUGCACAAUGGAGGAAACUCUGAUGCAGCGACGCCGCGUGAGGGAAGACGGUCUUCGGAUUGUAAACCUCUGUCUUUGUGGAAGAAAUGCCGGUACCCUAAGAGUCAUCUCCUGCUAACUACGUGCCAGCAGCCGCGGUAAUACGUAGGGAGCGAGCGUUGUCCGGAAUUACUGGGUGAAAAGGGAGCGUAGGCGGGCGAGAAAGUUGAAUGUUAAAUCUACCGGCUUAACUGGUAGCUGCGUUCAAAACUUCUGGUCUUGAGUGAAGUAGAGGCAGGCGGAAUUCAUAGUGUAGCGGUGAAAUGCGUAGAUAUUAGGAGGAACUCCAGUGGCGAAGGCGGCCUGCUGGGCUGUAACUGACGCUGAGGCUCGAAAGCGUGGGGAGCAAACAGGAUUAGAUACCCGGGUAGUC